UGGAUUGAAGAUGACUCCUGGUGGCAUAUGCGUCCUGUACGAUGAAAACCUGUCUGAAACUCCGAGGUCCAC
ensembl:snoRNA